UCAUUAACAAAUAGAAUUCUCUGUGUGUCUACAGUGAUCCGUGGUCUCUGUGACGACUAUGAUCUGGACUUUCCAGCGUUCUACGCCUGCAUCGGUCUCUGGAACUCCCUCUUCCUCAUCCUGGGAGGCAUCUUCAACGUCUCCCUGCUCAUGAAGCUGUUCAAAAGGUCAACAGAGGAGGUCAUAGCUCUGUUCAUCUCUAUAGCCUUCGUAGUGGACGCUCUGAAAGGAACCAUCAAAAUCUUUCAUAAAUACUACCACGCCCCGACGCUGACCAAUGGAAGUGGGGAGGCAUUGCUAUGGCUACAGGAGCAG